AGUCUGGUGCCAGCAGCCGCGGUAAUUCCAGCUCCAAUAGCGUAUAUUAAACUUGUUGCAGUUAAAAAGCUCGUAGUUGAAUUUCUGCGUCACCGUAUUUUGACUUUUGUCGACUGUCGGUUUCGCUUUUGGGAUUUAUCCCUUUUUACUUUGAGAAAAUUAGAGUGUUUCAAGCAGACUUUUGUCUUGAAUACUUCAGCAUGGAAUAAUAGAGUAGGACUUUGGUUCUAUUUUGUUGGUUUGUGAACCUUAGUAAUGGUUAAUAGGAACGGUUGGGGGCAUUCGUAUUUAACUGUCAGAGGUGAAAUUCUUAGAUUUGUUAAAGACGAACUACUGCGAAAGCAUUUGCCAAGGACGUUUUCAUUAAUCAAGAACGAAAGUUAGGGGAUCGAAGACGAUCAGAUACCGUCGUAGUCCUAA
rnacentral:rRNA from 1 species